CGAGUUAUAAUUCCAAUACUUUCUUACUACCUCCAUCCUUUUUUCCUAUUUUUGUAGUUAUAUCAAAUAUUAAAAUUGAAAAUUCAUAGAAUGGUAAGAAGAUAUUAAUACCUUAAAAUAGCGGGCUGAGCCAUGUGCCUUUGUUCCGGUCCAAGCUGUUGUUGUUUUUGCUAAACCUGUUUACUCAAAAACUAAUGAACAAAAUUGCAUCAAUACAAUAUCAUUCAGUUAAAGCACAAGAACAAAUUCUAACAAAACUUCUUCUUACUUGCAAAUAUCAACAUUGAAUCAAUUCCAACCAAUUGAAUCUCCUUCUUCUUGCACAAUCUUUAACUUGCGUUAACAGUGAAUUCUACAUUACAAAAAUUCCACUUAACCUCUCUCCUAGGAACAAUCUUUACCUUACAUUAACAGUAAUUUCACAUUACAAAUUUUUCCUUUAGCACAACCAUACCGAGAUAUAGAGAUAAACAGAGAACUCCUCCUUAAAGUAUUACAAAUACUGAUACAUGAAAAUAUUCAUCCAGAAUCCCUUUACAAUAUAAUAGCAAAUAAAGUAAUGGUAAUCAAUAACCACCACCAUCACAACUCAUUCAAGCAAAACCAAGUAAAAAGAAUUAUUAUAUUUCAAAAUAGUGUGCAGAAUUGCACACUUCUCAUGUGUUUGUCAGCCCAUAAAUCAAUCUAUAAAUAGAAAUUGCAGCAUUUUUGUGCUAUUGUACCCGUCAUCUGCUGCUUAAUGCUGUUGAUUUUUGGUUCUAUUAGUGAACCAAUCCAUAAGUAGAAAUUGCAGCUCGUAUGUUGCUUAAUGUUGUUUCCGAUACAUAAAUAGAAAUCGCUACUUAAAUGGCUAGUUGUUUGGUAGUAGUGUGGGAAUGCCAUCGACUGGAGUUUGGGUUGUUUUUAUGUUGUUGCCUCUUUCGUUCUAGUGGCAAGCUUAUGUGCUAUAUCACCUGUUUCUCCAUGUUGUUGCUUUAGGUUAUUCCAUAGUAACUAGUGUACUGCUGUGGUUCAGCAGCCACUGCGCUGCUAUAAUUUGGUGUGCUGCUACUAUUGUUCCUUAAUUAGUCUAGUUCAGACUACUCUUAUUAUACAUAUAUAAACAUAUAUGCAAAUAUAUAUUACAUAUAUAUAUACCCACUUACCUAAAACUUCAAAACCUAUAAAGAUAACUCUUUCCUUCUCCUUUACCUACCCAAAACUCCCACCUCCGAAAUCCAAAUUCCACUAGUUUCUUACUGCUUCCCUCUUUUUUCUCUCUUUUUUCGUUUAUUCUUUUGUAGUUAUAGCAAAGAUUAUAGUUAAACUAUUAUAGAAUGAUAAUAUAUUAUUACCUUAGAGUAGCAGACAAGUGUAGUAGUGCUUCCGUGUUCAGGUCCAAAAAGAGUUCUCGUCAAACCUGCUGCAGCAUACAGGCAAACAUUAGAUGCACCAGAUAAACAAAUGUCUUGAUAUGAAUGCAUAUGCUUUCUUAUAUGAAAUAAUCAUUUAAACAAAUUCUGUUACAUACCUUUGUAUUUUCUUUACCCCUGUAAGCUAGUUGUGUACAAAAGCUCCUGAAAAGACGAAAGCUUCAUCAAUUUAAUAUACAUGAAUGGCAUAUAUGCAACAAUAGAGAUUUAUACCGACUUACAAACUACACCUUAUAAACUGAAAUUACAUACACUUGAUUAAAGAUGUUGGUAAAAAAGUUUCCAAAAUGUAAGAUCAAAAAAGAAAAUGAACAUAUGGAAAAUAUCUGACUUGAGCUGAUAUAGCCACAAAGCAAAAGUCUGGCGUAUGUACUUCUGUUUAGGUCUCUCUUCCCCUGUAUCUCUACCUAUAUAUACAUCCUCACACACAACAUACCGUGCACAGAUUCAAAUGCAUGACAUUAUUGUCUUUGAACCAAAAAUAAAUCACUCAAAUCAUGAGUCCAAAACAAAGUAUAUUAAGUUUGAAAUCCAGAUAAUGAUUGCAUUCUUCACAAACCAGCGGUCAAACAGGGCCUGAAACUGGAAAGUUCUGCCAAUGGUUCAAAUCCAUUGGACUAAAAUUAGCAAGGAAAAAGGCACAACAAAAAGAAGAAAAAACCAUGAUGAUAAUUAUAGUGAAAUUUAUUACUUUUAGGAAAAAAAUUAAUCAAGAAAUUUGUAACUGCAUUUUCAAACUAGCAGUUCAAAUCCAUUGGACUAAAAGUAGCAGGGGGGAAAAGCACAAGAAGAAGAAAGAAAGAAAGAAACAUGAUGAUGAUAGAGACUUAAUAGUUAGCAAAAAAAAUUAAUCAUGAAAUUUAUAUUAAAUGUGCAAAACAAAAUCUCAAAGAACAACGAAAGAUGAUGAUAAAGACCAUGUGAUAACACUGAUGAAAUUUAUUACUUAUCAAAAAAACUAAUGUAUUAUAUAUCAAAUGUGCAGGACUAUAGUAUCUACAAGAAAAAAAGUUAAGAUUGCAAUUUCAAGACAAGGAAACAACGGCUACCCAUAUAACAUAUACCAUCACGCAGAAGUUAGACACUACUGGGAUCAAAGCUAGAUUAGAAAUUUCAUAACAUUUCAACAUUAUAACCCCACCCCACCCCACCCCCUUCUACUUUCGUGAUUUCCUCAAAGGAUCCAAAUGUACAUAAAAAAAAUCACAAGUGAAAAAUACGAUGACUCCAAAACCUCGUGACAUAAACAAAGGUAUUACAGCAUAUAUUCUGUGAAAAUAUAUACACCUAGGCCUGUAAAAACUAAUAGAAAAAUGACUCGGGACAGUAUUGAGCCAACCUAUAAGGAAAUCAUUAAUGCAUGUGGAACUGUAAAGAACCAUAAGGAUGCAAUGUUAGAACAAGAUAGGGCACAAGCCUACUGAUCCAGAACAUAACUAACACUAAUCCAAUGAACUUUUCAACUUAUCAGAGCCUCACUAACCCACCAAUUGGGAUCAAGUACGCUGAACACUAGUCUCAACCAUUGUGCAUUCUAGGAAAUUUGAAACUUGAUAGUUAUGGGCCUUAUGGCACUAGCUGGAAAAUUAGGCAACAAUAAUUUUUAUUUUUAAUCAACAUAAUGUUUAAUUACAAAAGGGCAAAAAGCUAAAAGGACGUACAAAUAGUUUACUUACUAAAAACAGCUGCAGUAAAAAAACAAAAAGGACACAAAAAAAUGGUUUACGUAUCAACUUCAAAAAAAUCAAUGACCACGAAAUGAUUAUUUGGCUUCAAGAACUAUGUGAUAAGGGACGGAUAUUGGCCAAAACUCUAAAGCCAAUAUUGAAGAUCAUUUAAAAUACACAUAAUUGUGUUAGAGUAUAUAUCUUGUCCCACAUUAAAUACCUUGAGAAAAUAUGUCUAGUAUAUAAAUACUUGGGCCAACUCUUCUCAGAGCCAAUUGGUUUUGAGUUAGAGAGAUUGAUAUCUUUAUAAACUAAACUUUGGGCCCAUUUUAUAAAUGUAACAUGGAAUCAGAGCGGGAUAUCCUUGUUCUUAAAGGUUAAAGUUAUCCAUUUCUUAACUAGUACCACUUAUCAAUGGGCCAACAAUUGCCCAUGUUUACUAGCUUCUUCUGGGCUUGCUUAUUUUAUAUGCGUCUUCAUAUUCAUUAGGUCCACAUGCAACUCUCACACAGGUUACACAUGAGGGGGUGUUAGAGUAUAUAUUUUGUCCCACAUUGAAUACCUAGAGAAAAUAUGUCUAGUAUAUAAUAACUUGGGCCAACUCUUCUUAGAGCCAAUUGGUUUUAAGUUAGAGAGCUUGAUAUCUUUAUAUACUAAACUUUGGGCCCAUUUUAUAAAUCUAACAAAUUGAUAUAUACAAACAUGUGCUUGCACACGCGCAUUGUGGGAGGCAGAUGGAAAGUCAAAACGCAACGUGUCACACAUUGGAUAUAUGAACUAUAUUAAUCAACAAAUAAAACAGCUACAGAGAAAUAUCGAACAUUUGAAAUCAUGAUCAACUUUUUAAUAUCAAACUUUAGUCUAUAAGGUUUACUAGAAAAAAAAUAAUUCAUCAAAAUUGAAGUGUAAAUAAAAUAAUACUAAAAAUCGAACUAUUAUUUGUUUCGCAUAAAAUUUCAAGUAUCACACAUAUGUACAAAAAGUUAAUAUUACACAGGAAAUUAUAAUUAUCUCACAUAUGUACAGAAAGCCAAUAGUUGUAGAAUUUGCAAAGUUUCUCAACUUAGAGUACACUAAACAAUGUUUUAAAAAUGUUAACUCUUUAAGUAUAAAUCGAGAGAAGACAGAGCAGAAAGAAGCGCGUAAGAAAUCACCUGUAAUUAUUUUCUAGGCCUCAACAAGUUUGAUGUUCUGCAAUUUCUUGCUAAAAUCAAUUAGUUUCAGCAUCUUCAAUGUGCACACCCCUACAUGAGCAAAGAUUGUUGAAUGACUGAAAAAAAUGGUGCGUGAAAAUAUAUGUUAGAUUUAUAAAUGGUCCCAAAGUCUGGUAUAUAAAGACAUCAGACUCUCUAAAUAAAAACCAAUUGACAAUGAGAAGAGUUGACCCAAGUCAUUAUAUACUAGACAUAUUUUCUCAAGAUAUUCAAUGUGGGACAAGAUAUUAUAUACUCUAACACUCCCCCUCACGUGUAACCCGAUAUAUUGAGCGUUGCACGUGGACCUGAUGAAUAUGAAGACCCACGCAAGAUAAGUAAGUCCAGAAGAAGCUAGUCACAAGACAAGCCCAGAAGAAAUUUAGUAAACCACAGGCAACUAUUGGCCCAAUUGAUAAGUGGUACUAGUUAAGAAAUUGAUAACUUUGAUCCUUAAGAAAUGGGUUGUAAGUGGGUAAGAAUGAAGGCUAAGAAGAGUGUUCAAUUAGGCCCAUGAAUAGCUCGCUCUGAUACCAUGUUAGAUUUAUUAAAUGGGUCCAAAGUCUAGUAUAUAAAGACAUCAAGCUCUCCAACUCAAAACCUGGCAAUGAGAAGAGUUGGCCCAAAUCAUUAUAUACUAGACAUAUUGUCUCAAGAUAUUCAAUGUGGGACAUAAUAUUAUAUACUCUUAACAAUAUAUUAAUUUUUUGCAGUUCACAACUUUGUCAGAAAUCUAAUGAAUUGGGCAGGAAAGUAAAUAUAUAGUUUUUAAUACCCUAACCUCUUUCUAUAUUGCCAUAAUUAGAAGAAAAAAAAUACAUAUUCAUGACAUAAACGAAUGAUUCCUACCACUGCAACCUUUUAACUAGCCAUGGUUAUGGUUAGACAGUUGCAAUCUUGCAAACUUUAAUACUUAAUUAAGCAUCACUGGAACAAACAAUUCUACUUUCCAAAGUUCCCUAGACCGACUCAACCUAUAGUGACUUCAACUUUUAUGUUCUUUGUUUUUCUGAUAGUUAUGAUAUAAAUUGACUUCAAUUAAUUUAUGUAAAGUUUUUAGUUAGAUCUAAACCACCUGAUAUUUCCUACUUUAAAAACACUAAAAUAAACGGGAAUAAAAUUGAAUAUUAAAUAACCAUGACGACACACCAAUUAGAAAAUUAACUAUAGGAAAUCAAUAUUUUAUUUCGGAAACACAAAAAAUAAAACAACUUACUUAAUUUUGGAUAUCAAAAAGUAAGUAUCAAUACAGCAAAAACAAGAAUUUAAAGAACACAUAAUGUAUAGAAUAUAAACAACCAAACAAGGAACCAACAAACAAUAACCAAGAUACCAAAAUUUUGCAGUAGAUAAGUAUUAAAACAGACUCCACAAAAAGGAAAACUCAAAAGCACUACAUGGAUUGAAUAAAAUAACCCUUAUAAUGAACCCUCUCUUUCUAAAUCAUCAGAAUAAAGAGAGAGAAAAAGUCGGGAAAUAUUCAUGACAUGUUUCUAAGGAAAAAGCCUGUCAAUGCAACCUUUUUACUGGGCCAUGGUGAGAGAGUUACAAUCUAGCAAACUUUAAUACUUUUAUUCAAGCAUCACUGAAACAAACAAUUCUACUUUCCUAAGUUACCUAGACUCCCACUCAACAUAUUUACUUGAACUUUUUAGUUUCUUUGUUUACUUUUGACUUAACUUUUAGUUUCUUUGUUUUCUCACAGUAAUUAUAUAAAUUGACUUCAAUUUAUUUACUUGAACUUUUUAGUUAAAUCUAAACCACUUAAUAUUUUGCUUAUGAAUAUAAAUGAACAUUCCAUCAUCGUUACACCACACCAAUUAAGAAAUUAACUAUAGGAAAUCAAUAUUUUCCGAUGAUAAAAAAAGGGAAAAGAAACAAACUCAGAAACACAGACAGACACAUAUAUAUAUAGAGAGAGAGAGAGUCAACCUUAUCAUCCGGAAAAAAAUUCAAAUAACUUAUUUUACUUUUGGAUAUCAAAAAUUAAGUACUAAUAUAGCAAAACAAGAAUUUGAAGAACACAUUAUGUAUAGAAUAGAAACAACCCAUACUAAGAACCCACAAAUAAAAAUCAAGAUAUGAAAAUUUUCGAUAGAUAAAAGUAUUAAAAAAGACUCCACAUAAAAUAGCCCUUAUAACGAACUCGCAAAUCAAAACCAAGGUAUGACCAAAUAUUAAUAAAACCAACUCCACAAAGAAGAAAAUAUCAAAUGAAUUACUUUCUCUUAAUAUCAAAAUUUAAGCAUCAAUAUACACCAAAAACUAGAAUUUAUAGAACACAUGUUAACAUGGAUAUAGAAAGAUGUAAUUGUAGAUAAUCAAAAGAAAUCGAAAACCCAAUAUGAAAAGCAUUAUAAAAGAUAAAUAAAAACAUGUAAUUGAAUUUAAAGAACCCUAGAAUGCAAGAGAAUCCGAACCUCUCAAUGCCAUUACACAACACAUCGAAAGUUUCCAAAAAAUAUGAGGUUUGAAAUCCGAAAAAUAUCCACAUUCUUUAAAUUGGCGGUAAGACAAGACUAAAUCUAGAAAGUAGAACAUUCCGGUGCCAAUGACACAAAACAUAUAUUCUGUGAAAAUAUAUAGACCUAGGCCUGUGAAAACUAAGAGAAAAAUGACACGGGCAGGCAUUGAGUCAACCUAUAAUGAAAAAAUUAAUGCAGGUGAAACCAUAAAGAACCAAAAGGAUGCAAUGUUAUAACAAGGUAAUAGGACUACAAGCCUAUUGCUUCAGAACGUAACUAACAUUAAUCCAAUGAAUUUUUUUUUUCAACUUAUCAGAGCCUAACUAACCCAACAAUUGGGAUCAAGAACGUUGAACACUAGUCUCUACCAUUAUGCAUUCUAGGAAAUUUUAAACUUGAAAGUUGAUGGCACAAGCUGGAAAAGAUAAUAAUAAUUUUUAGUUUUAAACAACAUAAUGUUUAAAUACGAAAAGACAAAGCAUAGUUUACACAAAAAUUGUUUACACAUCAACUCUACAAAAUCAAUCACCACUAAAUGAUUGUUCAGCUUCAAGAACUGAGUGAUAAAGGACAUGAUAUAUACAAACAUGUGCUUGCACACACACGUGCAUUGUGGGAGGCAGAGGGAGAUAGAUGGAAAGUCAAAAGGCAACUCGUCACAAAUUGGAUAUAUACGAAUUAUAUGAAAUCUAUAUCAAUCAACAAAUAAAGUAGCUACAGAGAAAUAUCGAAUAUUUGAAAUCAUAGAAACUUCAAUAACCUACAAAAUUUCAUCAUUGAUCAUCAUAUAUUGGUGACAUUCAUUUUUAAUAUUUCUCCAAAUACUACUUUGGUUUGCAUAGGACAAUAAAUUUCGACUUUGUUACAUAGACUCUAUACUUUGCCCUAAAGUAUUACCUUAAAGUACCCAUGUCCGACACUCGACACACAUACAAGAGUAUGGGUACUGGACACUUCAUUUUAGUGCUAAAAGUUAGGAAAAUUGAGAAGUACCCGUGUUGGAUUCUACAAAAUACUGUGUCCAACCAUACACUCCAUCCAAGUCCGUGUAACAUAGUUUUUCGAUCAACUUUUUACUAAUAAACUUUAGUCUAUAAGGUCUACUAGGAAAAAUAAUAAUUCAACAAAAUUAAAAGUGUAUACUAUGCAUAAAGAAUAUUAAAAAAUCAAUAAAAGGCCAAAACUAUUAUGUUCAACACUAAGACCUCACAUAUACUAGGGCCUGGUUCAUGCAAGCUCAUUCUAGGCUAGAAUCUUAGAAUGCUUAAGUAUGCACCAAGAAAAAUUAAGAAUUGAACCAUUAUUUGUUUCACAUAAAAUUAUAAUUAUCUCACAUAUGUAGAAAAAAAGUUAAUAUUUCACAAGAAAUUAUAGUUAUGUUACAUAGUGUACAGAAAGUAAAUAAUUGUAGAAUUUGUAAAGAUUCUCAACUAAGAGUACACUGAUAUUGUUUUUAAAAUGUUAAGCAACUGUUGGUGAAAGAAGACAGAGCAGAAAGAAGCACAUAAGAACUCACUUGUAAUAAUUUUUCUUGGCCUUAACAAGUUUGUUGUUUUGAUAUUUCUUGCUAAAAUCAAAAUAUAACAUCUUAAAUGUGCACACCCUAAAUGAGCAGAGAUUGUUUGAAUGACUGAAAAAAACGGUGCAUCAAAAUAUCUUAGUGUUCUGCAGUUCUACUUUUUUAGAAUUCCAAUAAAUUGGGUCGAGGAAAGAAAAGAUAUACUUUUUAAUACUCCCUCUUUCUACAUUACCAUAUAAUAAAAAUAUUCAUGACAUAAACGAAGGAGAAAGCAGUGCAAUUUUUUUACUGGCCAUGGUUAGAGAGAGUUGCAAUCUAACAAAUAAAGCAUCUACAAAGAAAUAUCGAAUAUUUAAAAAUCAUAGCAACUUCAAUAACCUAAAAAAUCUCAUCAUUGAUCAUCAUAUAUUGCUCACAUCCAUUUUUAAUAUUUCUCCAAAUACUACUAUGGUUUGCAUAGGACAGUAAAGGCAAUACUUCUAGACAAGACAAUACUUUUCGACUAUGUUACAUGGAGUCUCUACUUUGCCCUAAAAUAUUUCCCUAAAGUACCCGUGCCCAAUAUUCGACACACGGACAAGGAUAUAUGGGUACUAGACACUUUAUAUUUUAGUGUUAAAAGUUAGAAAAAAUGAGGAAUACCAAUGUCGAAUUCUACAAAAAAUAUUGUAUCCAACCGAACACUCCAUCCAAGUCCGUGUAACAUAGCUUUUUGAUCGACUUUUUACAAGUAGACUUUAGUCUCUAAGGUUUACUAGGAAAAAUAAUAAUUCAACAAAAUUAAAAAUGAAUACUAUGCAUAAACAAUAUUAAAAAAUCAAUAAAAGAACAGAACUAUUAUUCUAAUAGUACCUCACAUGUAAACUCUAGUAUUAGGACCUGGGAAAUGCAAGCUCAUUCUUGGCUGAAAUCUUAGAGUGCUUAAGUAUGCACCAAGGGAAAUUAAGAAUUGAACCAUUAUUUAUUUCACAUGAAAUUAUAAUUAUCUCACAUAUGUACAAAAAGCUAAUAUUUCACAUGAAAUUAUAAUUCUUACAUAGGUACAGAAAGCAAUAGUUGUAGAAUUUGAAAAAGCUUCUCAACUUAGAGUACACUGAUAUUGUUUUAAAAAUGUAAAGUAACUGUUGGUGAAGUACAAGAGGAAAGAAGACAGAGUAGAAUGAAGCGCAUAAGAACUCACAUGUAAUAAAAAAAAUUGGCCUCAACAAGUUUGUUGUUCUGAUAUUUCUUGCUAAAAUCAAUAUAUAACCUCUUCAAUAUGCACACCCCUAAAUGAGUAAAGAUUGUUGAAUGACUGAAAAAAACGGUGCAUCAAAAUAUCUUAGUGUUCUGCAGUUCUGCUUUAUUGGAAUUCCUAUAAAUUGGGCCAAGGAAAGCAAAUAUAUACUUUUUAAUACCCUCUCUUUCUACAUUGCCAUAACAAGGGGAAAAAAGACAUUCAUGACAUAAACGAAGGAGAAAGCCCCCGUCAGUGCAAUCUUUUUACUGGCCAUGGAUAGAGAGUUGUAAUCUAGCAAACUUUAAUAUUUUUAUUCAAGCAUCACUGAAACAAACAAUUCUACUUUCCAAAGUUCCCUAGACUCCCACUCAACAUAGUGCCUUCAACUUUUAAUUUCUUUGUUGUCCUGAUAGUAAUAAUACAAAUUGACUUCAAUUAAUUUAUUUGAACUUUUUAGUUGUCAAACCACUGUUAUGCCCUGCUUCAAAAAAUGUUAACUACAGGAACAAAAACAAAUAUUAAAUUACCGUUACAACACACCAAUUAGAAAAUUAACUACAGGAAAUCAAUAUUAUAUUUUGGAAAAAUAAAUACACAGGUAACAAAAAAAUUUCAAAUAACCUAAGCUAUUUGGAUAUCAGAAAAUAAGCGUCAAUACAGCAAAAACAAGAAUUUAAAGAACACAUCAUGUAUAGAAAUAGAAACAACCCAUACAAGGAACCACACAUAAAACCAAGAUAUGAAAAUUCUGUAGAUAAGUAUUAAAAACAAACUACACAGAAAAGGAAAAACAUAAAGAACACAACACAUUGAAUAGAAUAACCCUUAUAACAAACCAGCAAAUGAAAAUCAAGAUACAACCAGAUAUUAAUAAAGCAAAAUCUAGAUAUUCUUCAGACUAGCCCUCAAACAGGACUGAACUAGAAAGUAGAACUUUCCAGUGCCAACGGUUCAAAUCCAUGAACUAAAAUUUGCAAGGGGGAAAAAAGCACAACAAGAAGAAGAAAGAAAGAUGAUGAUAGAGACAAUGAUAAUAAUGAUGAAAUUUAUAACUUAGCAAAAAAAAUUAAUCAUGAAAUUUAUAUUAAGUGUUCAUAAUAAAAGCUCAAAGAACAACGAAAGAUGAUGAUAACAAAUACGAUGAAAAUAAUGAUGAAAUUUAUUACUUAUCAAAAAAAUUUAAUGCUGAAAUUUAUAUCUAAUGUGUAGAAUGAAGCUUACAUAUCUACCAGUAGAUUAGGUCAAUGUAGUAUCUACGAGGAAAAAAUAAAGAUUGCAACUUUAAGACAAAGAAACAAUGGCUACCCAUAUAACACGUACCAUGCAUUAGUAAGACACUACUAGGAUCAGAAUUGGAUUAGAAAUUUCAGUACAUUUCAGCACUAUGCCCCCCACCCUCUUUCAAAGUUGCUUCCACUUUCAUGAUAUCCUCAACGGAUCCAAAUGCAUCAAAAAAUCACAAGUUCAAAACUACUUAUAUGAAGUUUGAAAUCCAGAAAAUAUCUACAUUCUUCAAAUUAGCAGUAAACAGGACUAGAACUAGAAAGUAGAACUUUCCAGUGCCAAUGUCUCAAAACAACUCGUGACAUAAACAAAGGUAUUACAUCAGAUUUUCUGUGAAAAUGUAUAGACCUGGGUCUGUGAAAACUAACAAAAUAAUGACAUGGGACAGCAUUGAGUCUACCUAUAAGGAAAAAUUAAUGCAAGUGAAACUGUGGAAAACCAAAAGGAUGCAAUGUUAUAACAAGGUAAUAUGACUACAAGCCUAAUGAUCUGGAAUGUAACUAACACUAAUUUUAUAAACAUUUCAACUUAUCAAAGCCUCAAUCGCUAAUUCAACAAUCGGGAUCAAGUAUGCUGAUCACUAGUUUAAUGAACUAAUAGUUUCUAGGAAAUUUGAAACUUGAUAGAUAAUGGCACUAACCAGCAAAAUAGAAUAUUAGAUAAUAAUAAUUUUUAUUUUUAAACAAAAUGAUGCUUAAAUAUGAAAAGUAAAAGCUGAAACGACAUAAUAGAUACUUUACUUACUAGAGAAAGUUGCAAAAAAAUAAAGGAAAAGACAAAAAUAAAAGAAGAGGAAUUAAAAUUAAAAGUAUACUUAAAAAUAGGAUGUUUGGCUCCCCCUGUAAUAAACUUUUCACUUGAAUUCACUCACCAAGUGAAUAAUAACUGACAAAAGUAUACAACUUUUGCAAUUUUGAAUCAUCUAUUCAUGUACUGUGUGUGUGUAUAUGUAAAAAUUGGGUGGGAGUAUUGCUUUCUGACCAAUACCCACUAGUGGAGCCGCCAAUAACACCAUCAACCAAAAUAGGAGAAUCUGUGGACAUAUAACCAAUUAUAUUACUCCUUUUGUACCAAAAAAAGAGAGUUCUAAGUGUUAAUUCUUGGGUAACUUUCACGUGACCACCCGAGGUUUCACCAAUUUCCCACAUGACCACCUAUAGUCCAGAAAGCUACACUUAAACAGCUGAGAUUUUGAGGUGAAGUGAAAAAGUUACAUUUUCCUUCUAAACUAACUGUGCGUGCUGGCAACUCGCCUAAAGAGUAUGAUGCAUAGUUCUAACAGUCAAAUGAGGUGAGAAAUUGUCCAAUAUACCCCCAUCAUAUACAUUGGCUAUAAGUCCCACUUCCUUACAUUUGUUCACCCUUGGGAGCUCUUUUCUACCCUAGAACAUUUGUAACUUCUCUCUAGCUUUGAUCAAGGAUGUUAAUUCAUCAUAUUCACAAGGUAUGAAGAUCAACUAAUUUCUUCUCUAACUUUACUUUAUUUUCAUAAAUUUAUUGUUGUUAUUCAAUUUAAAAGUUGCCCUUAAGGUGUUUGCUAAAAUGCCUCAUCCCUUCUUUCUCUUGUUUAUGUGAAUUAGGAGUCAUGUCUUUCGCUACAUACCUAGAGUAUGUAGAUGUGAAAAGAAGGCAUUUGAUAAGAAUUGUCGACUCGAACAAACCAUCGUAGGGCAAAUUUGUAUUUUAUAUGUGAUGACUGUGACUUUUGGACAUGGUACUUGCCUUUUACAACAACCUCAAGUGGGACAAUGACUGGCAUUAAUGAACACAACGAGGGAAUGGGGACAGUGGUGAGGGGAACAGCAUGCAAGUGUCCUGAGCAUAAUAAUCUACCUGCUAGGAUGAUGAUUGUUGAAAGCUAUGUGAAGAUAAUAAUGAUUGUUGGACUUGUGUUAUAUCUCAUGUCAUUCAAGAUGUCUUUUAGUAGUAAGAAAUGAAAGUUUGUAACGUGUAAUGGAAUCUGUAAUGUUCUCAAUUCAAUUAAAUGGAAUCCUAAUGCUAUAUUAUAUAGUCUUCAGUUUCAACUUGUGCACAACUGAAAAUGAAAAAGAAUUGACUAAGGCAAAUAAAUAACAUCUAAUUAGAGAGACAAAAGAAGAUACCAUUAACUGGCAUCUCAAAUGAACAACAUCAAUUCAUUCAUUAACUUCAUUCAAUUAACCAAGAAUUUACAUAUCAAAUGUUUGGCCAAAAACUUCACCAAAAAUACCAACUGGCCAAGACUUUUACGUAACAAAGACUUCAUUCAAUUAACCAAAUUUAACAACUGGCCAAAAAAUACACCUACUACCAACAAUACCAACUAUACCAAACUGUACCAAUAAUAAUCCCAAGACUGAAUAUAUCAAAUGUUUGGCCAUAUCAAACUGUACCAAAAUACUAAACUGGCCAAACAUACCAACUAUACCAAAAACAAGAAACUGUGCCAAAAGUAGACAAGCACUAGUGAACAUCUAAAUAAUACCAAAGUAUCAAAAAACAUAAACUGAAAUAACCCAAGGCAAAGUCAAAGCCUUACACCCCCCCCUCCCCUCCCUGCCUUCUUUGGUGAAACCAAUCUGCCCUUGGAUGCUAACUUCUUUGAAACUGGUUUGCUCUUCAACACUACACCCUACAUAUUCAAUUACUGGUUCUUGAACAAAAGUCCCACCAUAAUAAAAUAUUAUUCUCACAAACAUUUUGCAUUAAAAAGAUGCGGGAGAAAGGUUUGAAUAAGACAUAUUUCUUGAUAAACAAAAUCAAAUUAUAGGGGACCAAAACAAGUGGGACAUAAAAAAUUGACCAUGCCAAAAGAACAUAUAUUAUUACAGAGUAGACCAAACAAGUGGGGACAGAUGCUUAAAGAAAUGGGACAUUAAAUUACUCUUAUCACAUGUAGGGACCAAACUCAACCACCAAAUCCAUCAUAUUACACAAUCCCCAAAUAAAUUAGACAAUUAUACUACUACAAAAGUGGGGAAAAAAACACUGCAUACAUACAUACAUAUAGACACUUUACAAAAAUCCAAACACAACCACGUUAUAGCAUAUAAUAAAGCUAUGAUACACAAAUACCAAAAAUAAAGUAAAUAUUCUACUACAAAAAGUGGUUCAAAACACUGCAUGCAUAAAUAACCACCAAAACUCCAAUCACAAUCAUAUCAUCAUAUUAUAGUACAUACAGUAAAGAAAAAAACAACAAAAAGUGGCUAACAACUAGACAAAAGAUUACCUCAAUCUGCAGCUGCUUAAACCUCCUACUAUGAAUGACUCCUCAGCUCCAAGAACCAAUUUUUAGCACCAAAUCACAAUUAAUCGAGUCAAUAACUAUAAAAGCCCCUUAAAUCGCCAUCCAUUCCACUCAAAAUCGAAGAAGAUUUCAAGAAAAACCCUAAAUCACUACAUAUUUCUCGCUCUAUUUCGCUCUCUGCAAACCCUAAGCUCAAACGACACAAAUUAGCCUCAAAGCCUGAAUUCUAUACUUUAUAUUCGAAAGACAAAUCUGUCUUUAGCCAUUUAACAUCACGGAGUUAACACAGAAAGCACUUUUUAACUUCACCUCAAAACCUCAAGUGUAAGUGUAGCUUUCUAGACUACAGCUGGUCGUGUGAGAAAUUGGUGAACCUUAGGUGGUCAUGUGAAAUUUACCCUUAAUUCUUUUUUUCUCACAAAAAAAGUUGAUUAUUUCAAUUUCAUUCUUUUAUACCAUACCACUAAACUGACAACCUUUUUAAAGAAUACAUAUAAAGUUUAUAAGCGACGAACAAAGUUAAUAAAGUUUUUCGAUGGAUUGACUAAAAGUCAUACAACGUGUCUCUUUGUGUGUGAGAAAGAAAGGGAGGGGAGAGAGAGAGAGGGAGACAGUUAAUUUGCUUAAUUCGUCAAAUUAACCUCUAAACUUUCAAAUUUCCAACCAAAUAUCUGUUUGCCAAUUAUGAUAAAAUGAAUUAAUAAAUUCAAAGCAUAAGCUUAAAUAAAACUCCUCUUAAAGGCCAUACACGCUGACAAGUCAAUUAACUCACAAAAUGAAAUGGCUUACUAUACAAAAUAAAUAGUAAACAUGUUUAUACUAUAUACUCAGAGAGCUAUUUCAGUAAACUGCGUAAUCUAUGAAGAUGAUAUACACAUGUUACUUCUACAUCCUGGCUGCUAGUUGUUUCUAGUUCUAUGGUGAUGACAAAAGAUAGGUACAAAAAAUUGGAUACAAAAAUGAUGUGUCUAAUUAUAAUUAGUUGAUGUUCCACCAUAAAUAAAUGGGUCCCAUGGUUAUAAUCAAAUACCAUCAUACACAUCAUUUUAUAUCCAAUAUUUCGUCACCAAAACAUUAUUGAGAAACGAAUGGUUUAUUCAUCAACUCCACACAAAAUCAAUGAUCACAAAAUGAUUAUUUGGCUUCAAGAACUUGGUACCAAGGGACGGAUAUUUGCCAAAACUCCCGAACAAUACUGAAUAUCAUUUGAAACACACAUAAUUGAUAAAUAAAAACAUGUGCGUGCACACAGACACUUGCAUUGUGGAGGCAAAGGGAGAGAGAGAGAUGGUAAGUCAGACGGCAAUGGGUCACACAUAGGGUAUAUGAAAUCUAUAUCAAUCAACAAAUCAAGCAGAGAAAUAUCGAAAACUUGAACAACAUAUUAAGUUCAGCAACCCACAAUCUUAUCAUUGAUCAGCAUACUAGUUCACAUUCAUUUUAGUUUUUCUCCAAAUAGUACAAUACGUCUGCAUCGGACAGUUAAAAACAAUACUUGUCUAUCAACUUUUUAAUAUCAAACUGUAGACUUGUAGUCUUCAAGAUCUACUAGAGAAAUAGUGAUCCAUCAAAAUGCAUGAAAUAAUAUUAAAAAGUCAAUAAAAGAAGAGAAUUAUUAUAUUCAAUAAUCAAUACUAAUACCUCACAUAUAAGCUCUAGUAUUUUAGGAGUUCGGACACGCAACUUCAUACUAUGCUAAAACUUUGAUUGCCUAAGUAUGUACCGAGGGUAAUUACGAGUUGAACCAUUAGUUGUUUCACAGGAAAUUAUAAUUAUCACAUAUAUGUACCGAAAGAUAAUAGUUAUAGAAUUUGCAAAAGCUUGUCAACUUUGAGUGCACUGAACUAUUUUUCACAAAUGUUAAAUAACUGUUGAAAAGUACAAAAGGGGAGGAGAAAGCAGAGAGAAGCGCCUAAUAAAUCACCUGUAAUAAAUUUUCUUGAUCUCAACAAGUUUGUAGUUCUGCAAUUUCUU
rnacentral:lncRNA from 1 species